ensembl:misc_RNA Metazoa_SRP Metazoan signal recognition particle RNA
GCUAGACAUGGUGGCUCAAGUCUGUAAUCCCAGCUACUGGGGAGGCAGAGACAAGGGGAUUGCUUGAACCCAGGAGUUUGGGUCUGCAAUGAAUUCUUAUUGUAUCAUUGCACUCCAGCAUGGGUGAAAGAGUGAGACCCUGUCUCAA